GGGCCUAUAGUUCAGUCUGGAUCAGAACGCAUCCUUGCGGAGGAUGAGGUCCUAGGUUCAAAUCCUAGUAGGCCCG
rnacentral:tRNA from 1 species